GGCUCGUUGGUCUAGGGGUAUGAUUCUCGCUUUGGGUGCGAGAGGUCCCGGUUCAAAUCCCGACGAGCCC
rnacentral:tRNA from 2 species